rnacentral:rRNA from 1 species
AGGGUUCGAUUCUGGCUCAGGAUGAACGCUGGCGGCGUGCCUAACACAUGCAAGUCGAACGGUGAUGAUUGAUAUUUCGGAUGGAUUUCAUCAUAGUGGCGGACGGGUGAGUAACGCGUGGAUAACCUGCCUCGUACUGGGGAAUAGCAGCUGGAAACGGCUGGUAAUACCGCAUAAGCGCACGAUGCCGCAUGGCAAUGUGUGAAAAGAUUUAUCGGUACGAGAUGGAUCCGCGUCUGAUUAGCCAGUUGGCGGGGUAACGGCCCACCAAGUCUACGAUCGGUAGCCGGACUGAGAGGUUGAACGGCCACAUUGGAACUGAGAUACGGUCCAGACUCCUACGGGAGGCAGCAGUGGGGAAUAUUGGGCAAUGGACGAAAGUCUGAACCCCCAGCGACGCCGCGUGAGGGAAGAAGGUCUUCGGAUUGUAAACCUUAGUCAACAGGGACGAAGCAAGUGACGGUACCUGUGGAGGAAGCCACGGCUAACUACGUGCCAGCAGCCGC